UGGUCUCCAGUCGAGCUGAGGCGUG
rnacentral:piRNA from 1 species